rnacentral:rRNA from 1 species
AUGUCAUGUUUUAAGCUCCCCAGAGGUCUAUGUGAACAUAUAAAUUCUAUCAUCCGCAAGUUCUGGUGGGGCUGCAAAGAGGGGCAAGGAAAACCGGCCUGGGUAUCUUGGGAGGUAAUGAUAAGGCCAAAAUACUUGGGAGGUAUGGGUUUCAAAGACCUUGAGCUUUUUAAUCUGGCACUGUUAGCUAGACAGGCAUGGAGGGUGAUGCAUGAUCCUACCUCGUUGAGCGCCAGGAUCCCCAAAGCAUCUUACUAUCCAAAUACGGAGUUCCUCACGACAGAGCUGGGUUCACGUCCUUCUCAAAUCUGGCGAGCUAUCCUGGAAGGGCGCGAUAUCCUUAAACAGGGUAUAAUCCAGAGGAUUGGCAACGGUCAGACCAUGAGCAUAUGGGAUCACAACUGGAUACCCAAGGAGGGGUCAUUACGGCCGAUUGUAUCUCGGGUCCAAGACCCACCGCAGUUGGUUCCGGAAUUGCUCUUUCCAGCAACAGGUUCGUGGAACGAUAUUCUUUUGUCCGAACGGUGUUCUUGCCAACUGAUGCGGAGGCAAUUCUGCGGAUUCCGGUAUGUACUAGCAAUAUUGAGGAUUUUUGGGCAUGGCAUCCGGAGAAGAAGGGAAUCUUUACGGUGA